GAGCUGACACGUGUCACCCUUUUUAAUGGUGUUAGUACGGAACUAACGACAGUGACCUAAUUGCUUCAAAUUUUAAAAAAUAGGGACCCAAUUGAGAAAAAGAAAAAAUGAGGGACCUAAUUAAAAAAAGUCACCGAAAAUAGGAACUAUCAGAAUGAUUAAACCUUUUUUUUAACAAUACGCACACCUAUAUAUCCAAGAAAAUAAUAACCCGUCCAACAUUUUUUUCCCUUCUACUAUUCUAAGUUUUCUAAUCACCCAUACACCACCAAAUAGUAUCCAAUGUCCACACCUCUAAACCGUUAAUCCUUAUACUAGAAACAACCCUAACUCUCAUCCAUUUUCCUUCUCUCUUCUAUACACCCAAGAAGCAUAAUACCUCCCAUGCAACCACCAUAUACUCUCAUUGCUCACAGACAACUCCUUUCAUCCCAUAUAUUCUCUCUUUUUCACGUAGAUAUAGUAUAAAAAUUAUCCUUCCUAGUAAAUACUCACGUGCACACUCACUUCUCUCUCCCCCCUUCUUUUCUUUUCAGAAAAGACGAAACCCCUACACUCCCUUAAUUCUUGGUAUCUGUUAUUUCCUCCUAGCUCUUCUCUCUUCUCCUUACUUAUAUCACCCUCUUGUACAAUUCUUCCAUCUUCCCAAUAACCCGAGACUAGGCAAACUACCUCACCUCCCUUUACACCAUUGUCUCCACGCCUAAACUACAUCCAUUCUUCAUAAACCUAUCUCACUCAUCACACUGCAAGGGCAUGUGACCACCGCCAUGUAAGCUACCCAUGCAGUAUUUGGCUUUAACUCUCUCCCGCGGCUACUCCGUGUAGGUCUUAUGAGUUUGACUUCAAAACAAAAUAACAGAUUUUAAACGCUUCCUUUUUACCCUAGAUACAGCCCAAGGCCCACUCUUCCUUACUGCCAAAAAGAUCUGAAGAUAUUCUUGUUAUCUCCAUAUAUUUCGUGCAUGAGAAUUACAAAUUUUCAAUCAAUCCUCUCUUCUUAUUGGUCCAAAAUUAACCACUGGGCACCCAAGACUGCAAAAAGAAAUGAAAACACAACCAUUUGUCUCCCUCUUUCUACGCCCACUAGAAUUGAAAAGAGUUUAUGUUCUCUUCAUUCCAC
rnacentral:lncRNA from 1 species